CAGUUGAUCCUCUUUCUACUUACCAAGUGUUCUGUGUUUGAAGAAGUGAAACCCUCCUGUUACAUUCAGAGAACAGGAGUGCCAGCAUAUCAGAUAUGGAAGAAAAAAAUACAAAGCACAGAAACUGACAGACACAAAAAUGAAUAUAGGAAGAGAAAGCUGCAGAUUAAGCAAGCUUGUUUUGGCACAAAGAAAAGAAAGGUAUUAAAU